rnacentral:lncRNA from 1 species
GUUGACAAAUUGGCAAGCACACCAAAUCGUACAAGUAAUAUAAAUGGUAAGACCAAGUAUCGUUUUCCCAAGAGACUCAAAAGGCUUUCUCGUUCACGUGAAUUAAAAUAAUAAGACUUGAAAAUAAAAAUUAAUAAAUUGGAUUUGUGAACAAAAAUAUUAACAUGCAAAAUAAAGUUGAUUCAAUUGACAAAAGAAAACAAUGGAUGAAUGGAUGUUGUUGGGGGUUUACAAUUUCAUCUAAUCCGCCCUCUCUUAUCUACUCCUCUUGAAUAUUAGUUUGAUUAACUAAUUGUUAUGCGACUUUCUUAGCCUACCUCUAACCCGAUCCCUCGGCGAAAAGAGCCUAAUAUUAACUACUAGCUUGCUAUCCCUAACCUCCCCUAGUAAUUAAUACCGCAUUAUAAACAAAAGUCAGUGCAAUUGAUCGUCCUACCCCUAUCCCUAGGUGGUAUUGCAAAAUCAAGAAAUUACU